GACGAACGCUGGCGACAUGCUUAACACAUGCAAGUCGAACGGAAACGCCAUGCUUUUGUGGCUUGCUCGAGUGGCGAACGGGUGAGUAACACGUUAGUAACCUGCCCUUGACUUUACCAUAACUUCAUAACACUGCGGCUAAUACCGUAUAAGAGCUCCUGCUGCCUGGUGGGCGUUGGAAAGUUUCGGCGGAUGGGGCUGGACUCGCGGCUUAUCAGCUUGGUGGUGGGGUAGUGGCUUACCCAGGCGUUGACGGGUAGCCGGCCUGAGAGUGUGACCGGACACACUGGGACUGAGAUACGGCCCAGACUCCUACGGGAGGCAGCAGUGGGGAAUAUUGCACUAUGGGCGGAAGCCUGAUGCAGGAACGCCGCGUGCGGGAUGACGGCCUUCGGGUUGUAAACCGAUUUCGCCUGUGACGAAGCGUGAGUGGCGGGAAUGGGUAAAGAAGCACCGGCUAACUACGGG
rnacentral:rRNA from 1 species